rnacentral:lncRNA from 1 species
CAGAAAGGGACAGAGACGGCGAAGUUUGACGGUCUGGAAAGCAGAGACCAGCAGGGCUGACUGCUUGGGAGCACGAGGGACAGCUCUCCACCGACCGAAGGAGGAGAAUGCUAUUUAUUUCAGCACCAAUUAUCCGGACAGCGCCUCUCGGGAGGUCCGAGAAGAGAACCGCGAUCUGUUUCAGCACCGGGGCUCAGGACAGUUCCCAGCGGGCUCCGUUUCGGCUCCAGAACCCUGGACAGCUCCUCCAGCUUGGAAUGCACUCCCUCCACCUCCACCCAGAGCUCCCCACAACUGACCCUGCCUUCUCCUGCAAGCUCCAUUUCAUCAAGGGAAAGGAUCCUUAUUGCCUCACCAUUUCCCACGUGAAGUCUGUAUUGACAUUCUCACAGACCUGGGAUAUUGUGUCUGCAGCACAUACUCCAAUUAUUUUCAUGUUAUCUACUGACA